rnacentral:rRNA from 1 species
AUUGAACGCUGGCGGCAGGCCUAACACAUGCAAGUCGAGCGAGCGGCGGACGGGUGAGUAAUGUAUGGGGACUGCCCGAUAGAGGGGGAUAACUACUGGAAACGGUGGCUAAUACCGCAUACUAUCGGAUAACCCAUAUGGGAUUAGCUAGUAGGUGGGGUAAAGGCUCACCUAGGCGACGAUCUCUAGCUGGUCUGAGAGGAUGAUCGGCCAAACUGGGACGGAGACACUGCCCAGCCCCCUACGGAGCCACCAGUGGGGAAUUUUGCACAAUGGGCGCAAGCCUAAUGCAGCCAUGCCGCGUGUAUGAAGAAGGCCUUAGGGUUGUAAAGUACUUUCCGCGGGGAGGCGUUACCCGCAGAAGAAGCACCGGCUAACUCCGUGCCAGCAGCCGCGGUAUAC